AGAACAUCCUUUGAACCAUCUGAUGCAUGGACAUCCUGUGCCGGGGUGAUCUGAGCAUAAGCGUCCAGUUGUGGAGACUACAGCACAUCGAGCCUGUGGACAGAUAGACAAGAGGCUUGACCUGCGGAACAUCAGGCGCACCCCACGAGAAGCAGUGCAUGAUCAACGCCACGCUCAGCAAGGACAUCUGCUGGAAGUGAUGUACUCUUUCAUUCUGGGGGUACUGACAGGAGGAGCAAUAUGAGUCUGCUAGAGGCUGUCAUGCUCAAUGGGGUGUGUGAUGGAAGCUUUGGGGUUCCACACAACGAAGAAGCAGGUGUCCAUUCCAGGGAUGUGGAGCUGACCUUGGACCUGGUGCCAGUAAGGAUGGUCUUCACGGAUAAAAUCCUUUGACUUCACUGCCUCUUCAAUGGUAAGGUCCCUUGCACCAUAGGUACACUUGACCUCCAUCACUGCUGUGGAGUUCACCAGACCAUCUGGUGGGGCACCCAGGAUCCCAGAUCCUGUGACCCAAAGCCCUGAUUCCUGCACAUGCAUCCCUAAAGCCAUUUUGAAUGCCUUGAUGCCCUCCUUUUUGUUAUCUGAGCCCCACAUUACAGACAAAACCCCAUCCAAAGACUAAGAUUUUUAGCAGCGAUGGAGUAACGCUCUUGGCCCUAACCACAGAUUCAUACUUGCUGGCCGUCGACCUCCUCCUCAUUGUGUGCCAGUUACGGUUGGUGCGCUGUCCAACUGUUGCCUGCCGUAUAGCCUCCUACUGCUCCACCGAGAGCGCCAUGACAGCCAGGAUGCCUGCAUGCCCCAGGUGCUCUUGAACAAUGUCUGGUACAGAAAGGGAUAACAAGGAGGGUAGCAGUUGUUCUGGCUCAGGUUCAAGGAGACAUGCCAUUCCACUGAACCUGCCCCAGAGACGGUUCCUUAGCCACUGAAGAUCCUCCUCUGUGGGCUCUCAGGACAGAGGGUUGUAGUCUUUGGCCGGGUACAGGUCCUCCAUUGACGGCACCUGGUUGUGCACGGCUGGCUUCCUCCACUCGCAUUCCACAUCCAUAUGGCCGAUAUUGUGAACCGCCAAAAUAGCUGCAUGGCUACCUGUAUGAGCUCCACGGAGGCAUUCUCAUGUGGUAGAGAGAAUCCCCUGGUCACCUAUAGAGACCUGGCAAGGGGAAGGAUGUGCCACAUGCCUUUCUUUCAAUGUGUGACUUUGAACACAUUAGUUGUAAGAAAUGUGCUAUAUAAAUUAAGUUUGAUUUGAUUGAUUACAUUACAGAUGUAGAAUAUUUAAUAAACUGUCAUUUUCAAGAGAACAAGUGCAGUUUUUCCAUAAAUGUAUAAUUGGUAACUUUGUCAUGGCUUCAAUAAGUAGUGAGUGCAGGAGUCAGGCACAGAGAGCAGGGUAGUUCAAAAGAUGUGGAUCUUUAAUAUUCCAACAAAACCAGAGAGACGGUCACGCCACACACACAAGGGCGCGUAACGUCCCAGUCCAAACAAACAGGACGAAACUGAUCGGAAAAAAGAAACCACAGGAAUAAUCAAACACCAUAAACAGAAAAACAAGCCCGCACAAAAGCCGGCGGGCCUACUGGGUUUAAAUAGCCCACAACCAAACCUAAACACGAAACAGGUGCAAAAAAUCAGACACAACUAAAUGAAACAGAAAAGGGGAUCGGUGGCAGCUAGUAGGCCGGCGACAAUGACCGCUGAGCGCCGCCCGAACAGGAAGAGGCACCAUCUUCUGCGGGAUUCGUGACAAACUUGGGAUUUUAACACUUGACUUAUCAAACAUAUAGUGGGAAGGAUUCUAUAAAGCAAGAUUGUGUGAAUGCAUGUACCACUCCGAAUAAAUAAAUACUUUGCCUUUGAAGAUUUGUCUCUGGUCAUGA